rnacentral:hammerhead_ribozyme from 1 species
AUCCAACUGACGAGUCCCAAACAGAACGAAACGCGCGUCCUGGAU